rnacentral:misc_RNA from 1 species
AAGUCGUAACAAGGUUUCCGUAGGUGAACCUGCGGAAGGAUCAUUACCGAAGUACAGGCCCUCUCGUAGGGCUAAACUUCCACCCUUUGUUAACCACACUUUGUUGCUUUGGCGAGACGCCCUCGGGCCACCGGCUUCGGCGGGUGCGCGCUCGCCAGAGAAAACCCAAACCCAAACCAUUUAAGUUGUCGUCUGAAAAACAAGUUUAAUAAUUAAAACUUUCAACAACGGAUCUCUUGGCUCUG